rnacentral:rRNA from 1 species
UACAGAGGUCCCAAGCGUUUGUUCGGAUUCAUUGGGCGUAAAGGGUGCGUAGGCGGCGCGGUAAGUCGGGUGUGAAAUCUCGGGGCUUAACUCCGAAACUGCAUUCGAUACUGCCGUGCUUGAGGACUGGAGAGGAGACUGGAAUUUACGGUGUAGCGGUGAAAAUGCGUAGAUAUCGUAAGGAAGACCAGUGGCGAAGGCGGGUCUCUGGACAGUUCCUGACGCUGAGGCACGAAGGCCGGGGGAGCAAAACGGAUUAGAAA